rnacentral:rRNA from 1 species
UACGUAGGUGGCAAGCGUUGUCCGGAUUUACUGGGCGUAAAGAGCGCGCAGGCGGUCGAUCAAGUCGCGUGUGAAAGCCCCCGGCUCAACUGGGGAGGGUCACGCGAUACUGAUCGACUCGAAGGCAGGAGAGGGUAGUGGAAUUCCCGGUGUAGUGGUGAAAUGCGUAGAUAUCGGGAGGAACACCAGUAGCGAAGGCGGCUCGGCUGGGCCGUUCCGUGACGCUGAGACGCGAAAGCUAGGGGAGCGAACAGG